GAGUUUGAUCAUGGCUCAGAACGAACGCUGGCGGCAUGCCUAACACAUGCAAGUCGAACGGGAUCCUGGCUUCGGUCAGGUGAGAGUGGCGGACGGGUGAGUAACGCGUGGGAACCUGCCCAGUGGUGGGGGAUAACUGCGGGAAACUGCAGCUAAUACCGCAUGAGCCCGAGAGGGGAAAGAUUUAUCGCCAUUGGAGGGGCCCGCGUUCGAUUAGGUAGUUGGUGGGGUAAAGGCCUACCAAGCCGACGAUCGAUAGCUGGUCUGAGAGGAUGAUCAGCCACACUGGGACUGAGAUACGGCCCAGACUCCUACGGGAGGCAGCAGUGGGGAAUAUUGGACAAUGGGGGCAACCCUGAUCCGGCAAUGCCGCGUGAGUGAUGAAGGCCUUC
rnacentral:rRNA from 1 species